GUCCGGGCUGGGGUAGUGGCAUCCUGUAGCCCUGUGGCGGCUAAGACGCGGAUUCGAUCUCCGCGCCCGGACU
rnacentral:tRNA from 1 species